rnacentral:rRNA from 1 species
UACGUAGGGUGCGAGCGUUGUCCGGAAUUAUUGGGCGUAAAGAGCUCGUAGGCGGUUUGUCACGUCGGAUGUGAAACCCCGGGGCUUAACUCCGGGCCUGCAUUCGAUACGGGCUGACUAGAGUUCGGCAGGGGAGACUGGAAUUCCUGGUGUAGCGGUGAAAUGCGCAGAUAUCAGGAGGAACACCGAUGGCGAAGGCAGGUCUCUGGGCAUUAACUGACGCUGAGGAGCGAAAGCAUGGGGAGCGAACAGG